UACGUAGGGUGCAAGCGUUAAUCGGAAUUACUGGGCGUAAAGGGCGUGUAGGCGGGACAGUAAGUCGGGCGUGAAAUCCCUGGGCUCAACCCAGGAACUGCACUCGAAACUACUAUUCUUGAGUGUCGGAGAGGAAAGCGGAAUUCCUGGUGUAGAGGUGAAAUUCGUAGAUAUCAGGAGGAACACCAGUGGCGAAGGCGGCUUUCUGGACGAUAACUGACGCUGAGACGCGAAAGCGUGGGGAGCAAACAGG
rnacentral:rRNA from 1 species